rnacentral:rRNA from 1 species
CAGCCGCCGCGGUAAUACGUAGGGCGCAAGCGUUGUCCGGAAUUAUUGGGCGUAAAGAGCUCGUAGGCGGUCUGUCGCGUCUGGUGUGAAAUCCCGAGGCUCAACCUCGGGCUUGCAUCGGGUACGGGCAGACUAGAGUGCGGUAGGGGAGACUGGAAUUCCUGGUGUAGCGGUGGAAUGCGCAGAUAUCAGGAGGAACACCGAUGGCGAAGGCAGGUCUCUGGGCCGCAACUGACGCUGAGGAGCGAAAGCAUGGGGAGCGAACAGGAUUAGAUACCCCAGUAGUCCCUGUCUCUUAUAU